GACGAACGCUGGCGGCGUGCUUAACACAUGCAAGUCGAACGGAAAGGCCUCUUUCGGGGGGUACUCGAGUGGCGAACGGGUGAGUAACACGUGAGUAACCUGCCCUUGACUUUGGGAUAACUUCAGGAAACUGGGGCUAAUACCGGAUAGGAGCUCCUGCUGCAUGGUGGGGGUUGGAAAGUUUCGGCGGUUGGGGAUGGACUCGCGGCUUAUCAGCUUGUUGGUGGGGUAGUGGCUUACCAAGGCUUUGACGGGUAGCCGGCCUGAGAGGGUGACCGGCCACAUUGGGACUGAGAUACGGCCCAGACUCCUACGAGAGGCAGCAGUGGUUAAUAUUGCACAAUGGGUGGAAGCCUGAUGCAGCAACUCCGUGUGCGGGAUGACGGCCUUCGGGUUGUAAACCGCUUUCGCUCAUGACGAAGCUUUGUGUGACGGUAGUGGGUAAAGAAGCACCGGCUAACUACGUG
rnacentral:rRNA from 1 species